rnacentral:rRNA from 1 species
UGGGGAAUAUUGCGCAAUGGGCGAAAGCCUGACGCAGCAACGCCGCGUGAAGGAUGAAGUAUUUCGGUAUGUAAACUUCGAAAGAAUAGGAAGAAUAAAUGACGGUACUAUUUAUAAGGUCCGGCUAACUACGUGCCAGCAGCCGCGGUAAUACGUAGGGACCAAGCGUUGUUCGGAUUUACUGGGCGUAAAGGGCGCGUAGGCGGCAUGACAAGUCACUUGUGAAAUCUCCGGGCUUAACUCGGAACUGCCAAGUGAUACUGAUGUGCUAGAGUGCAGAAAGGGCAACUGGAAUUCUUGGUGUAGCGGUGAAAUGCGUAGAUAUCAAGAGGAACACCUGAGGCGAAGGCGAGUUGCUAGGCUGACACUGACGCUGAGGUACGAAAGCUAGGGGAGCGAACGGGAUUAGAUACCCACGUAGUCCCUGAGCGGGCUGGCAAGGCGCAU